rnacentral:rRNA from 1 species
UUCUUUUGGAGAGUUUGAUCCUGGCUCAGGACGAACGCUGGCGGCGUGCCUAAUACAUGCAAGUCGAGCGGACCAAAUCGGAGCUUGCUCUGAUUUGGUCAGCGGCGGACGG